rnacentral:rRNA from 1 species
GAUGAACGCUAGCGGCAGGCUUAAUACAUGCAAGUCGAGGGACAGCACAGGUAGCAAUACUGGGUGGUAACCGGCAAACGGGUGCGGAGCACGUACACAACCUUCCUUUAAGUGGGGGAUAGCCCAGAGAAAUUUGGAUUAAUACCCCGUAAUAUAGUUGAAUGGCAUCAUUUGAUUAUUAUAGCUACGGCGCUUAAUGAUGGGUGUGCGGCUGAUUAGAUAGUUGGCGGGGUAACGGCCCACCAAGUCUACGAUCAGUAGCUGAUGUGAGAGCAUGAUCAGCCUCACGGGCACUGAGACACGGGCCCGACUCCUACGGGAGGCAGCAGUAAGGAAUAUUGGUCAAUGGACGCAAGUCUGAACCAGCCAUGCCGCGUGAAGGAUUAAGGUCCUCUGGAUUGUAAACUUCUUUUAUUUGGGACGAAAAAGGGCCUUUCUAGGUCAACUGACGGUACCAGAUGAAUAAGCACCGGCUAACUCCGUGCCAGCCGCCGCAGUAACAC